rnacentral:rRNA from 1 species
UACGUAGGGUCCGAGCGUUGUCCGGAAUUAUUGGGCGUAAAGGGCUCGUAGGCGGCUUGUUGCGUCGACUGUGAAAACCCGCGGCUUAACUGCGGGCUUGCAGUUGAUACGGGCAGGCUAGAGUUCGGUAGGGGAGACUGGAAUUCCUGGUGUAGCGGUGAAAUGCGCAGAUAUCAGGAGGAACACCGGUGGCGAAGGCGGUUCUCUGGGCCUGUACUGACGCUGAGGAACGAAAGCGUGGGGAGCGAACAGG